rnacentral:rRNA from 1 species
UACGUAUGGUGCAAGCGUUAUCCGGAUUUACUGGGUGUAAAGGGAGCGCAGGCGGCACGGCAAGCCUGAUGUGAAAGCCCGCGGCCCAACCGCGGGACUGCAUUGGGAGCUACCGGGCUGGAGUGCCGGAGAGGUAGGCGGAAUUCCUAGUGUAGCGGUGAAAUGCGUAGAUAUUAGGAGGAACACCAGUGGCGAAGGCGGCCUACUGGACGGUGACUGACGCUGAGGCUCGAAAGCGUGGGGAGCAAACAGG